ACAGCAGUCGCCGCGUAAUACAGAGGGUGCGAGCGUUAAUCGGAUUUACUGGGCGUAAAGCGUGCGUAGGCGGCUUCUUAAGUCGGAUGUGAAAUCCCUGAGCUUAACUUAGGAAUUGCAUUCGAUACUGGGAAGCUAGAGUAUGGGAGAGGAUGGUAGAAUUCCAGGUGUAGCGGUGAAAUGCGUAGAGAUCUGGAGGAAUACCGAUGGCGAAGGCAGCCAUCUGGCCUAAUACUGACGCUGAGGUACGAAAGCAUGGGGAGCAAACAGGAUUAGAUACCCCAGUAAUCCCUGUCUCUUAUACA
rnacentral:rRNA from 1 species